GCGUCGGUAGUUCAGUGGUAGAACGUUCGUCUGCCGUAAGUACCCGCGCGGCAGACGAGAGAUCCGGGUUCGAUCCCCGGUCGAUGCA
rnacentral:tRNA from 1 species